rnacentral:rRNA from 1 species
GAACUUGGCAGAGAUGCCUUGGUGCCUUCGGGAACGCUGAGACAGGUGCUGCAUGGCUGUCGUCAGCUCGUGUUGUGAAAUGUUGGGUUAAGUCCCGNAACGAGCGCAACCCUUAUCCUUUGUUGCCAGCGAUUCGGUCGGGAACUCAAAGGAGACUGCCGGUGAUAAACCGGAGGAAGGUGGGGAUGACGUCAAGUCAUCAUGGCCCUUACGAGUAGGGCUACACACGUGCUACAAUGGCGCAUACAAAGAGAAGCGACCUCGCGAGAGCAAGCGGACCUCAUAAAGUGCGUCGUAGUCCGGAUCGGAGUCUGCAACUCGACUCCGUGAAGUCGGAAUCGCUAGUAAUCGUGGAUCAGAAUGCCACGGUGAAUACGUUCCCGGGCCUUGUACACACCGCCCGUCACACCAUGGGAGUGGGUUGCAAAAGAAGUAGGUAGCUUAACCUUCGGGAGGGCGCUUACCACUUUGUGAUUCAUGACUGGGGUGAAGUCGUAACAAGGUAGGCGUAGCGAG